rnacentral:rRNA from 1 species
CACAUGCAAGUCGAGGGGCAGCACGUAAAGUAUUUCGGUACUUUUGGUGGCGACCGGCGAACGGGUGCGUAACGCGUAUGCAAUCUGCCUCUUACAGGGGGAUAACACUGGGAAACUGGUACUAAUACCCCAUAACAUCAGAGAAGGCAUCUUCUUUGGUUAAAAGCUCCGGCGGUAAGAGAUGAGCAUGCGUUGUAUUAGUUAGUUGGCGAGGUAACGGCUCACCAAGACUACGAUACAUAGGGGGACUGAGAGGUUAGCCCCCCACACUGGUACUGAGACACGGACCAGACUCCUACGGGAGGCAGCAGUGAGGAAUAUUGGUCAAUGGACGCAAGUCUGAACCAGCCAUGCCGCGUGCAGGAUGACGGCUCUAUGAGUUGUAAACUGCUUUUAUACUAGGGUAAACUUAUCUACGUGUAGAUAACUGACAGUAUAGUAUGAAUAAGGACCGGCUAACUCCGUGCCAGCAGCCGCGGUAAUACGGAGGGUCCAAGCGUUAUCCGGAUUUAUUGGGUUUAAAGGGUGCGUAGGCGGCUUUUUAAGUUAGAGGUGAAAUCCAGGGGCUCAACCCCUGAACUGCCUCUGAUACUGGAGAGCUAGCGAGUAGAUGCUGUUGGCGGAAUGUGUGGUGUAGCGGUGAAAUGCUUAGAGAU